GAACCCACACUCCCAUUCAUACUGGCGACAAAAAAAAUCCCCAUUUGCGCAACGAAAACAUUGCUUUUCCGCCCUUUCUUUAUUCUCCGAUAAGAGAAAGUAUGAUCUCUAUUUUUAGCCGUUUCGUCCAAUCUCGCUGUCGCCUUGAGAGCAUUUCCUCCCCGGCGGCUAAUUGAUUUCAGGUCUUGGCUCGAUUUCUAGUGUUUCGAUCAGUAGAGCACGGUUAGAGAAGACCGCCAUGGAUUGGGGAAACGUGAUCGUUGUGUACCCGAUCGAUGUCCUCCACAACUCAGAGUUCUUCAUCCGAUUCACCUUCCCGGAUCGAUCCGACUCCAAAUGGAAUAGUCGAUUCAAGUGCAACCUCUACUACGAAGGACCAAUUACUUCAUUCUGAUCAUGUUCCUUCCGGCCAUGGGGUUUCUUUCGAAGCCUCUUGCCGUUGUUGUUGCCUUUCUCACAGGUCUAAGCAUCCCAUUCUUAGAUGAAAGCUAGUUGCAUCCUUAGACUGACCUCCUGUAGCCUCCUUACAGUGCUUUGGGCACUCAGCAUUGGACUGCUAGGUAACUAUAAUUUAGCAUUUGUCUGUUAUUAGGCAUAAAUAUUUUGAUAAGUCCCAUAUUAAUUGGUUGCAUUGUGUUGCAACAAUGCUUCAUGCAAGCUUCAGAUCACCUAAUUUCGUGCAAUUAUAGUGAGCUAUAAUUAUAGACUGCAGUGAUGAGUAAGUAUCUUUAAAUGUUUCGACGAUUUAUUUUCUUAUUCAGGAUGAAUACUAUCAAAAUUAGAAUGUAUCAUUCAUUAUCUGUUCUUUAUUAUGAAAAAUGUACCACCUUCAUGUAUUCCUUCCUACAUCACAAUUCAAAAGGCCCAGCAUGUGAUAGCUUUCCUGUACAAAGUUACCACUCACAAGUAUUCCUACAUUACAAUUCAAAGGGACCAGUAUUUUAUGAUUAUAAAUAUGCUGAAAGAACCACUAAAAUUUCAAUUGCCAAAAUUUCUCAAACUAUUUUACUUCUAUGCAUUCCCGGAAACAAAACUGAUCUAAACCUUAAGCAUUCUGCCCUCGGAGGUAACAUGUAAAAUAUUCAGAAAUCCUGAAAAUGUUGGAAGUAUCAGAAGUUUACCAAUAGGAUAGCGGAAUCGUGCCAUGUAAAGUUUCAGGUACCAGAGCUGCAGUCACUGGCAUCUCCCCAUCCUGAAAUCCUCAAAAUAUCUCGUCGGGAACCAUUGCCAUUUCCUAGAGGAAUCGUGGUAUGCAAACUUUCAGGUACCAAAGCUGCGGUCACCGGCAUCUCCCAAUCCAGGGAUAAUGAACCUGGUGAUAAAACACAGUAAAUUAAAACUCAUAGCACUCGAACUUGAGAAAUGGAGUGCAUGCUUAUUUGAUGCUAGCAAAGAACCGUAUAGAGUUCUGGUACAUCCUUUUAGGUACUUUCCCUUUGGUGUGGGAAUAGUAAUAAGCACAGUGAUCAGAAGAUUUACUUACCCUUUCUCAUUUACAACUGAAUCUAUCAUUCCAGCAUAUACAUGAAGCCUGGGAAAAAAGACACUUGUAACUGAACUAAUAUGUAAUAGAGAAUUACGUACUAUAGCACUUAUAUCUACUUACCCCGGAAAUUUCUUGCUAAGUUUCUGCAGUGCUGGAGGUGCAACAACAGCAGAUAUCUAUAAAGAGCAUGUAUGAGUCGAUGACACGAGAACCGAAUAUGAAGAUGGAAUAAAACUGAUUGUGCUUUAGGCACUUACGAUUUUUAUUUGCUUGUUGUCAACUCCACGAUCUUUCAACAAGUCAAUGGCUGCAACUAUUGUACCACCUGGAUCACAGAGUUAUGCCAUAAAUCAGGCCACAGGCACAACUGCUAAGCACUUUUGAAGUGCAUAGUUACACUCAAGAAAAAGUCUGCCUUGAGCAAAAGAAGGUAUUAAAGCCAGGAAAAAUUUUAGUCAGGUAUUAAUUUCCCUACAACAUGCUAACAUUGACAAAUAACAGUUGGCCACACAUACAUGGUAUGCUGGAGGCCAGCAGCAGAGCUCACUGGUUUAAUACCUUAUUCUGCUUUUCUGCUUUUCUUCGUGGCCAACUGUUAGAUAGCAGAGAACAACAUCGUGGAAUUGUAUCAUAAAGAGCCUUCCAAAAGAGGUCCUUAUUCUGCUUUUCUUCGAGGACAAAACCACUUACCACCUAACUUCGGAACUCCACCAAUAACAGUGUCAUGAGUCUGCUUGAAUAACUUUAUACCUAUGGAGUUUUAUUUUCUUUGAGAAUGCAUUUUAUGCUAGGCAGGAAUAUUAGGGUGCCAACUGAUACAGAACAGUUGAUAAAUUAUUACAAGUUUAGAAUCAGACUGUGCUUAAGGAUGUA